rnacentral:rRNA from 1 species
UACGUAGGGUGCAAGCGUUGUCCGGAAUUAUUGGGCGUAAAGAGCGUGUAGGCGGCUUGGCAAGUCUGACGUGAAAUCCCGCGGCUCAACCGCGGUAGGUCGUUGGAAACUGCCUCGCUAGAGUCCGGAAGAGGAGAGCGGAAUUCCUGGUGUAGCGGUGGAAUGCGCAGAUAUCAGGAGGAACACCGAUGGCGAAGGCAGGUCUCUGGGCCAUUACUGACACUGAGAAGCGAAAGCAUGGGGAGCGAACAGG